CACAUGACUCUCGGCAACGGAUAUCUCGGCUCUCGCAUCGAUGAAGAACGUAGCGAAAUGCGAUACCUGGUGUGAAUUGCAGAAUCCCGCGAACCAUCGAAUCUUUGAACGCAAGUUGCGCCUGAGGCCACUUGGCUGAGGGCACGCCUGCCUGGGCGUCACGC
rnacentral:rRNA from 1 species